CCUACGGGUGGCAGCAGUGGGGAAUAUUGGACAAUGGGGGCAACCCUGAUCCAGCCAUGCCGCGUGUGUGAAGAAGGCCCUCGGGUUGUAAAGCACUUUCAGUGAGGAAGAACGCCUGGUGGUUAAUACCCAUCAGGAAAGACAUCACUCACAGAAGAAGCACCGGCUAACUCCGUGCCAGCAGCCGCGGUAAUACGGAGGGUGCGAGCGUUAAUCGGAAUUACUGGGCGUAAAGCGCGCGUAGGUGGCUUGAUAAGCCGGUUGUGAAAGCCCCGGGCUCAACCUGGGAACGGCCUCCGGAACUGUCAAGCUAGAGUGCAGGAGAGGAAGGUAGAAUUCCCGGUGUAGCGGUGAAAUGCGUAGAGAUCGGGAGGAAUACCAGUGGCGAAGGCGGCCUUCUGGACUGACACUGACACUGAGGUGCGAAAGCGUGGGUAGCAAACAGGAUUAGAUACCCCUGUAGUC
rnacentral:rRNA from 1 species